GACAGCUUCAAUUAGACUUCAAUCACAAAGUGACACCUCAUUUUCAGAAAUUCUUCUUAAAAAUGCCGAAACCAGGACACUUGAGACUGAUUAAGUUUAGAUACGGAUACAACAAGAAUCAGACCGCGUCAGCUUCAGUGCCUGCAGUUCGAAGUAUUAAUUCUACACCCAAGGCGGUUAAAAUAGAAAUUCCUUCAGGGGCAUCAGAUACCGUACCCACAGACUUACAGGUACCAUCCCGUUGGAGAAGAUCCACAAUUGAUGAGAAAGAAUGUUCGUUUAUUAAUAGCGGAGGGGCAUCUUAAAUAUUUGUAUGACAUAGUUAAAAACUGAAAGCCAAAUUUGCCGUGUUAAAAAUCUAACACUCAAUACGUUUUUGCGGAGUGGCCGGAAAUAUUUGAAGUUAUCGAAAACGGACAGUACUGGCUGUGACGUCACGUCACUGGAUGUCAAGAUUAUCACUUUUCAAUUUACGAAGAAGAAGAAGAAGAGGAGCUGGUAAAUGAAGUAGAUACUAGGCAUUAUU